AACAGUCUCUUCCUUUUUUUCUUUUUUCUCUAUUCGUCCUAUGUUUUUAAAAUUAUUUAUCGCAUCGUGUUCCUUUGUACGGCGAAUGAUUAUUCACUCACGAUCAAUGAAAAAAUGUUGAAAGAAAGAAGGUUGUAUUAAUUUUGUCCAGAAUUGGGUUACAAAUUUGUAUAAUCUAUUCGUUUAACAUUUCUUAUUUUUAUAGAUGAUGAUAACAACUAAAAAGAUAACGAGAAGGCUGGAGAGGUGGAGUGUAAGUUUUAUCUGAAAGUAUGCGAAUAUAACGGAGGAACGAAUCACUCGGAGAAAGGUCGCGAGAAGAGAGGAGGAAAUGCGCGACGUUGCUUCCAAGAGUACUGGAGCAGAACUGAGGUUCACCACCUUGUGCUGGGGAGGACAACGGGAGGAAGAGGAACGUGCCUUUCUGUAUAGAACUACACGCAGAAACGUCUUACGUUAGUAUGCGAGAACUUCUGUUUUGGUAGGGGGAAGAAAGAGAACUCGAGGAAACUUGGAAGAGGAAAGAUAAUCCUUGGAACAAACAACGUUUGAAAAUAAGGAAUCCUGAACGAUAUCGGUAGAGUCGGGAAUUUGGAUCGCUACCAAAUCCGGAUCCACAGUAAGUAUUAUUCGCGUGCUCGUACGUUUUGAAGAAAUAAAGGAUAGACUAUCAAGUAGGGGGAACCUUUGCUGAUGGCAGA
rnacentral:lncRNA from 1 species